rnacentral:rRNA from 1 species
GAUGAACGCUGGCGGCGUGCCUAACACAUGCAAGUCGAACGGAAAGGCCCAAGCUUUCUUGGGUACUCGAGUGGCGAACGGGUGAGUAUCACGUGGGUGAUAUGCCCUUCACUUCGGGAUAAGACUGGGAAACUGGGUCUAUUAUAGGAUAUGACCACUUUUUGGAUGGGGUGGAGGAAUGUUAUUCGGUGUGGGAUGAGCUCGCGGCCUAUCAGCUUGUUGGUGGAGUAAUGGCCUACCAAGGCGUCGACGGGUAGACGACCUGAGAGGGUGUACGGCCACAUUAGGACUGAGAUACGGAGCAGGCUGCUACGGGAGGCAACAGGGGAGAACAUUGCGCAAUGAGCGCAAGCCUGAUGCAACGACGGCGGGUGGGGGAUGACGGGCUUCGGGUUGUAAACACCUUUCGCUAGGACCGAGGCGCAAGUGACGGUACCUGGAAAGGAAGCACCGGCUAACUACGUG